rnacentral:rRNA from 1 species
CGCGAUUCGCCCUUCGGGGUGCGGAGGCGCGAAUACUUUACAAUGCCGGCAACGGUAAUUAGGGAGCCUCGAGUGCCAGGUUACAAAUCUGGCUGUCGUGAUGCCUAAGAAGCAUUGCAUAGCAUGGGCCGGGCAAGACCGGUGCCAGCCGCCGCGGUAACACCGGCGGCUCGAGUGGUAACCGUUAUUAUUGGGUCUAAAGGGUCUGUACCCGGCCGGAUAAUUCUCUUGGGAAAUCUGGCAGCUUAACUGUCAAGCUUUCAGGAGAUACUGUCUGGCUCGAGGCCGGGAGAGGUGAGAGGUACUUCAGGGGUAGGGGUGAAAUCUUGUAAUCCUUGAAGGACCACCAGUGACAAAUGCGUCUCACCAUAACGGACCUGACGGCCAGGGACUAAAGCUAGGGGCACGAACCGGAUUAAAUACCCGGGUAGUCCUAGCCGUAAACGAUACUCGCUAGGUGUCGGCCACGGUGCGACCGUGGUCGGUGCCGAAUGGAAGCCGUGAAGCAAGCCACCUGGGAAGUACGGCCGCAAGGCUGAAACUUAAAGGAAUUGGCGGGGGAACAC